rnacentral:lncRNA from 1 species
GUUUUGAUAUUUCUGAAGUUUGUUCCUCCAUAGCUUUUUCCAUUGAAAUUAUCUGUUUUUUAAUUAACUGAGUAAAAUAUUUAUUGUGGAAUGGAGAGAGUAUUUGCUUCAACGCAUGAAGGCUUGCUUUGCAAUGCCUUCAGUUGCCUUCCUUUAUAGAACGAAAAAAAUCUUUACAAGCAUCUUUACAUAUUUUUUAAAUGUUAUCCUAUAACUCAAAAAGGCUACUAAAGGUUACCUAAACCUAAAAAGCCUAUACAUAGCCUUUAAAGG